rnacentral:rRNA from 1 species
UGUGUAGGUGGCGCCGUAAGUCGGGUGUGAAAUUUCGGAGCUUAACUCCGAAACUGCAUUCGAUACUGCGGUGCUUGAGGACUGGAGAGGAGACUGGAAUUCAUGGUGUAGCAGUGAAAUGCGUAGAGAUCAUGAGGAAGACCAGUGGCGAAGGCGGGUCUCUGGACAGUUCCUGACACUGAGACACGAAGCCAGGGGAGCAAACG